rnacentral:rRNA from 1 species
UAGGGAAUCUUCGGCAAUGGACGAAAGUCUGACCGAGCAACGCCGCGUGAGUGAAGAAGGUUUUCGAAUCGUAAAACUCUGUUGGUAGAGAAGAACGUUGGUGAGAGUGGAAAGCUCAUCAAGUGACGGUAACUACCCAGCAAGGGACGGCUAACUACGUGCCAC